UGUAAGCGUAUACCAAAGUUGUUGCAGUUAAAACGCUCGUAGUCGGAAUUUGGCAGUUCCGGAUGUGUGCACGUCGUGUGCGCACUUCGCGGGGAUUGCUUUUGUGGUCUUGCGUAGGAUGAGGCACUUUUAUUAGUGAACGUCCUCACGCAACCACUUUUUACUGUGAGAAAAUCAGAGUGCUCAAAGCAGGCAUUUGCCGUGAAUGUAUUAGCAUGGAAUAAUAGAAUAGGACUGGGUUCUAUUUUGUUGGUUUGUUGGGACUGAGUAAUGAUUAAGAGGGACAGUUGGGGGCAUUUGUAUUUCGGUGCUAGAGGUGAAAUUCUUAGAUUACCGAAAGACAAACUGCUGCGAAAGCGUCUGCCAAGGAUGUUUUCAUUGA
rnacentral:rRNA from 1 species